rnacentral:rRNA from 1 species
AUUGAACGCUGGCGGCAUGCCUUACACAUGCAAGUCGAACGGCAGCACGGGUGCUUGCACCUGGUGGCGAGUGGCGAACGGGUGAGUAAUACAUCGGAACAUGUCCUGUAGUGGGGGAUAGCCCGGCGAAAGCCGGAUUAAUACCGCAUACGAUCUACGGAUGAAAGCGGGGGACCUUCGGGCCUCGCGCUAUAGGGUUGGCCGAUAGCUGAUUAGCUAGUUGGUGGGGUAAAGGCCUGCCAAGGCGACGAUCAGUAGCUGGUCUGAGAGGACGACCAGCCACACUGGGACUGAGACACGGCCCAGACUCCUACGGGAGGCAGCAGUGGGGAAUUUUGGACAAUGGGCGAAAGCCUGAUCCAGCAAUGCCGCGUGUGUGAAGAAGGCCUUCGGGUUGUAAAGCACUUUUGUCCGGAAAGAAAUCCUUGGCUCUAAUACAGUCGGGGGAUGACGGUACCGGAAGAAUAAGCACCGGCUAACUACGUG